UUAAGUUAGAAAGGGCGCACGGUGGAUGCCUUGACACUAGGAGUCGAUGAAGGACGGGACUAACGCCGAUAUGCUUCGGGGAGCUGUAAGUAAGCUUUGAUCCGAAGAUUUCCGAAUGGGGAAACCCACCAUACGUAAUGGUAUGGUAUCCUUAUCUGAAUACAUAGGGUAAGGAAGACAGACCCAGGGAACUGAAACAUCUAAGUACCUGGAGGAAGAGAAAGCAAAUGCGAUUUCCUGAGUAGCGGCGAGCGAAACGGAACAUAGCCCAAACCAAGAGGCUUGCCUCUUGGGGUUGUAGGACAUUCUAUACGGAGUUACAAAGGAACGAGGUAGACGAAGCGACCUGGAAAGGUCCGUCGUAGAGGGUAACAACCCCGUAGUCGAAACUUCGUUCUCUCUUGAAUGUAUCCUGAGUACGGCGGAACACGUGAAAUUCCGUCGGAAUCUGGGAGGACCAUCUCCCAAGGCUAAAUACUCCCUAGUGAUCGAUAGUGAACCAGUACCGUGAGGGAAAGGUGAAAAGCACCCCGGAAGGGGAGUGAAAGAGAUCCUGAAACCGUGUGCCUACAAAUAGUCAGAGCCCGUUAACGGGUGAUGGCGUGCCUUUUGUAGAAUGAACCGGCGAGUUACGAUCCCGUGCGAGGUUAAGCUGAAGAGGCGGAGCCGCAGCGAAAGCGAGUCUGAAUAGGGCGUUUAGUACGUGGUCGUAGACCCGAAACCAGGUGAUCUACCCAUGUCCAGGGUGAAGUUCAGGUAACACUGAAUGGAGGCCCGAACCCACGCACGUUGAAAAGUGCGGGGAUGAGGUGUGGGUAGCGGAGAAAUUCCAAUCGAACCUGGAGAUAGCUGGUUCUCCCCGAAAUAGCUUUAGGGCUAGCCUUAAGUGUAAGAGUCUUGGAGGUAGAGCACUGAUUGGACUAGGGGUCCUCAUCGGAUUACCGAAUUCAGUCAAACUCCGAAUGCCAAUGACUUAUCCUUAGGAGUCAGACUGCGAGUGAUAAGAUCCGUAGUCAAAAGGGAAACAGCCCAGACCGCCAGCUAAGGUCCCAAAGUGUGUAUUAAGUGGAAAAGGAUGUGGAGUUGCUUAGACAACUAGGAUGUUGGCUUAGAAGCAGCCACCAUUUAAAGAGUGCGUAAUAGCUCACUAGUCGAGUGACUCUGCGCCGAAAAUGUACCGGGGCUAAAUACACCACCGAAGCUGCGGAUUGAUACCAAUGGUAUCAGUGGUAGGGGAGCGUUCUAAGGACAGUGAAGUCAGACCGGAAGGACUGGUGGAGUGCUUAGAAGUGAGAAUGCCGGUAUGAGUAGCGAAAGACGGGUGAGAAUCCCGUCCACCGAAUGCCUAAGGUUUCCUGAGGAAGGCUCGUCCGCUCAGGGUUAGUCAGGACCUAAGCCGAGGCCGACAGGCGUAGGCGAUGGACAACAGGUUGAUAUUCCUGUACCACCUCUUUAUCGUUUGAGCAAUGGAGGGACGCAGAAGGAUAGAAGAAGCGUGCGAUUGGUUGUGCACGUCCAAGCAGUUAGGCUGAUAAGUAGGCAAAUCCGCUUAUCGUAAAGGCUGAGCUGUGAUGGGGAAGCUCCUUAUGGAGCGAAGUCUUUGAUUCCCCGCUGCCAAGAAAAGCUUCUAGCGAGAUAAAAGGUGCCUGUACCGCAAACCGACACAGGUAGGCGAGGAGAGAAUCCUAAGGUGUGCGAGAGAACUCUGGUUAAGGAACUCGGCAAAAUGACCCCGUAACUUCGGGAGAAGGGGUGCUUUCUUAACGGAAAGCCGCAGUGAAUAGGCCCAAGCGACUGUUUAGCAAAAACACAGCUCUCUGCGAAGCCGUAAGGCGAAGUAUAGGGGGUGACACCUGCCCGGUGCUGGAAGGUUAAGGAGAGGGGUUAGCGUAAGCGAAGCUCUGAACUGAAGCCCCAGUAAACGGCGGCCGUAACUAUAACGGUCCUAAGGUAGCGAAAUUCCUUGUCGGGUAAGUUCCGACCCGCACGAAAGGUGUAACGAUUUGGGCACUGUCUCAACCAGAGACUCGGUGAAAUUAUAGUACCUGUGAAGAUGCAGGUUACCCGCGACAGGACGGAAAGACCCCGUGGAGCUUUACUGUAGCCUGAUAUUGAAUUUUGGUACAGUUUGUACAGGAUAGGCGGGAGCCUUUGAAACCGGAGCGCUAGCUUCGGUGGAGGCGCUGGUGGGAUACCGCCCUGACUGUAUUGAAAUUCUAACCUACGGGUCUUAUCGACCCGGGAGACAGUGUCAGGUGGGCAGUUUGACUGGGGCGGUCGCCUCCUAAAGUGUAACGGAGGCGCCCAAAGGUUCCCUCAGAAUGGUUGGAAAUCAUUCGUAGAGUGCAAAGGCAUAAGGGAGCUUGACUGCGAGACCUACAAGUCGAGCAGGGACGAAAGUCGGGCUUAGUGAUCCGGUGGUUCCGCAUGGAAGGGCCAUCGCUCAACGGAUAAAAGCUACCCCGGGGAUAACAGGCUUAUCUCCCCCAAGAGUCCACAUCGACGGGGAGGUUUGGCACCUCGAUGUCGGCUCAUCGCAUCCUGGGGCUGUAGUCGGUCCCAAGGGUUGGGCUGUUCGCCCAUUAAAGCGGUACGCGAGCUGGGUUCAGAACGUCGUGAGACAGUUCGGUCCCUAUCCGUCGUGGGCGUAGGAAAUUUGAGAGGAGCUGUCCUUAGUACGAGAGGACCGGGAUGGACGCACCGCUGGUGUACCAGUUGUUCUGCCAAGGGCAUAGCUGGGUAGCUAUGUGCGGAAGGGAUAAGUGCUGAAAGCAUCUAAGCAUGAAGCCCCCCUCAAGAUGAGAUUUCCCAUAGCGUAAGCUAGUAAGAUCCCUGAAAGAUGAUCAGGUUGAUAGGUUCGAGGUGGAAGCAUGGUGACAUGUGGAGCUGACGAAUACUAAUAGAUCGAGGACUUAACC
rnacentral:rRNA from 1 species